GACGAAGGGGGCAAGCGUUGUUCGGAAUUACUGGGCGUAAAGGGCGCGUAGGCGGUCUUUUAAGUCAGGCGUGAAAGCCCUGGGCUCAACCUGGGAGUGGCGCUUGAUACUGGAGGACUAGAGAGUGGGAGAGGUUGGUGGAAUUCCCAGUGUAGAGGUGAAAUUCGUAGAUAUUGGGAAGAACACCGGUGGCGAAGGCGGCCAACUGGACCAUUUCUGACGCUGAGGCGCGAAAGCGUGGGGAGCAAACAGG
rnacentral:rRNA from 1 species